UAAAGCAUAAUUAAAACCAUAAUAUAAGACUUUUAAUCUAACAUUGUAGAUCCUUACUACUGCUUUAA
rnacentral:tRNA from 1 species